rnacentral:rRNA from 1 species
CAGGUCUUGACAUCCCGCUAACGAGGUAGAGAUACGUUAGGUGCCCUUCGGGGAAAGCGGAGACAGGUGGUGCAUGGUUGUCGUCAGCUCGUGUCGUGAGAUGUUGGGUUAAGUCCCGCAACGAGCGCAACCCUUACUGUUAGUUGCUACGCAAGAGCACUCUAGCAGGACCGCCGUUGACAAAACGGAGGAAGGUGGGGAUGAUGUCAAAUCAUCAUGCCCCUUAUGACCUGGGCCUCACACGUACUACAAUGGCCAUUAACAGAGGGAGGCAAAGCCGCGAGGCAGAGCAAAACCCUAAAAAUGGUCCCAGUUCGGAUCGCAGGCUGCAACCCGCCUGCGUGAAGUUGGAAUUGCUAGUAAUCGCGGAUCAGCAUGCCGCGGUGAAUACGUUCCC